GUAAAGGAAUGCUGGCAGAACAAAUACUACGUUCCCAAUAGCACUUUGUUUUAUUGUUCCUCUUAUAUUAUUUAUGUUUGCCCAGCAGCCUGAAUAAUCAGCAGGCUGCCUCCUCCCCCUGACCGCGGUAACCGCGGCUUUUACGCUCGGCUGAUUUUUCCCAGCCGUUUGCCGAGGCAGCGGAAGCGGAGGGUAAAGAUGGGUUUGGUGCUCGGAGGCCCUUCCUCCCUGCCGCUGUACCAUCGUGCGCUUAUUUUCGCAGCUUAUGGAGCUGGCGAGGGGCGUGGGGGGGUGUCCAGCCGGGGUUUCAGCAGCUGCCGUGCAGUACAGGGAGCGGUCGCGGCGACCGUGGGAACUCGGACGGUCAUUGACGCGCUGGUGUGACACAGUGACGGGCGAUGACUGUGGGGCCCAAGUUGGUAGGAAAGAAGCAUUUUUAUUGUUUGUUACUGUCGGCGUGGAAGAGCAACAGAUGGCGCAGUGGUUACAGCUGCAGUCUUGGUCUCGGAAGACUCGGGUUCCGAUCUCGCCUCCUGUUCUAGGACCCUGGAUUGAGGUACUUACCCUGAACUGAUACAGUAAAAAUUACCCAGCUCUUUAAAUGGGGAAAUCAGUGUAAUUUGCCUAGUGUGGCCCUGGAGAAUGGUGUAAAUGACUAAUGUUAAUAGCACCAAUGUUUGCACUCUGCAUGUGUGUGUGUACGUGCUAACGUGGAGGAGUCCUGCGCAGGACCGUGGUAUUGGACAGUGAGACUUGGGGGGAAAACAAAAGUGUCCCCUGCAGGUGUGUGUUCCUGUGUUGGGCUGCAGGUGAAGCCCCACAGACAUGUUGGCAGGUUGAGUGCCGCCAGGAGGGCAAACAGAUUGAGCGUGUGUGUGUGUGUGUGUGUGUGUGUACUCGCCUCCCCUCACACACCUACCCGACACACCCUAAUGUGUUAAACAGCAGUCACCUCACACACAGCGUGUGUAAAAAUAGCGUCGCUCACACUGCCAGGUGGCUUCAGCGGUAAACAAGCC
rnacentral:lncRNA from 1 species